GAUGAACGCUGGCGGCGUGCCUAAUACAUGCAAGUCGAGCGAACAGACGAGGAGCUUGCUCCUCUGACGUUAGCGGCGGACGGGUGAGUAACACGUGGAUAACCUACCUAUAAGACUGGGAUAACUUCGGGAAACCGGAGCUAAUACCGGAUAAUAUAUUGAACCGCAUGGUUCAAUAGUGAAAGACGGUUUUGCUGUCACUUAUAGAUGGAUCCGCGCCGCAUUAGCUAGUUGGUAAGGUAACGGCUUACCAAGGCAACGAUGCGUAGCCGACCUGAGAGGGUGAUCGGCCACACUGGAACUGAGACACGGUCCAGACUCCUACGGGAGGCAGCAGUAGGGAAUCUUCCGCAAUGGGCGAAAGCUUGACGGAGCAACGCCGCGUGAGUGAUGAAGGUCUUCGGACCGUAAAACUCUGUUAUUAGGGAAGAACAAAUGUGUAAGUAACUAUGCACGUCUUGACGGUGCCUAAUCAGAAAGCCACGGCUAACUACGUG
rnacentral:rRNA from 1 species